CAUCCUCCAAGGCUAAAUACUCCUGACUGACCGAUAGUGAACCAGUACCGUGAGGGAAAGGCGAAAAGAACCCCGGCGAGGGGAGUGAAAAAGAACCUGAAACCGUGUACGUACAAGCAGUGGGAGCACCCUUUGGGGGUGUGACUGCGUACCUUUUGUAUAAUGGGUCAGCGACUUAUAUUCUGUAGCAAGGUUAACCGAAUAGGGGAGCCGGAGGGAAACCGAGUCUUAACCGGGCGUUAAGUUGCAGGGUAUAGACCCGAAACCCGGUGAUCUAGCCAUGGGCAGGUUGAAGGUUGGGUAACACUAACUGGAGGACCGAACCGACUAAUGUUGAAAAAUUAGCGGAUGACCUGUGGCUGGGGGUGAAAGGCCAAUCAAACCGGGAGAUAGCUGGUUCUCCCCGAAAGCUAUUUAGGUAGCGCCUCGUGAAUUCAUCUCCGGGGGUAGAGCACUGUUUCGGCUAGGGGGCCAUCCCGGCUUACCAACCCGAUGCAAACUGCGAAUACCGGAGAAUGUUAUCACGGGAGACACACGGCGGGUGCUAACGUCCGUCGUGAAGAGGGAAACAACCCAGACCGCCAGCUAAGGUCCCAAAGUCAUGGUUAAGUGGGAAACGAUGUGGGAAGGCCCAGACAGCCAGGAUGUUGGCUUAGAAGCAGCCAUCAUUUAAAGAAAGCGUAAUAGCUCACUGGUCGAGUCGGCCUGCGCGGAAGAUGUAACGGGGCUAAACCAUGCACCGAAGCUGCGGCAGCGA
rnacentral:rRNA from 1 species